GGGCGAUUAGCUCAGUUGGCUAGAGCAGUUCGUUUACACCGAAAAGGUCAGGGGUUCGAGUCCCUUAUCGCCCACAA
rnacentral:tRNA from 1 species